UACAACUCCGAGAGCAUCCAACACACCAAGUAACAAUUCAUCAAAUGUUGCUGUGAGGCGGUGAAGUUAAUGCUGACACAGUGUCGGGAAAAGGACCCUUUUCUCCUGAAUUGACAACCAUUGUCGUAAUGAAUAUUUAACCAACGGUACAGAAAUGGUUGUUCAGAGCCAGCUACGCGUAAUUUGGUGCCAUUUGAUGGCUAGGCAAAGUAAAUUUGUAUCCAAAGUCGUCUGGACGUCCAAAAGAUGCGGUGUGGGAUAAUACAAUCGAUCUAUAUGUUUAUUAACAUGCUACCCGUAUCGAUAAUUCAAUAGCUGUUCUUCAAUCAGGGCACAGAUGGUUAAAGACACAGUGAAACAUUCAACCAAUCAAGAAACGACCGCUGUAACGCUAAUGGUUCUUUUUGAAUAGCUGACGGAGUGCCUGGAUGGAUGCAACCUGGAUGGACAAGCAACACCAUGAAAUAGUCAAAACGGUUGUUCAUGCACGGAAGUGGAUAUUAAAUGAAAUCUACGCGUAAUUUGGUGCCAUUUGUUGGCUAACCAAAUCAAAAAGGCAGUCUAAGUGUACUUCACAUCCAGGAGAUGGCUCGGGACAUUUAGCCUACAGAUGGAGUUAAUCAUUCAGCGUAUCAAGAAACGAACAAAAAUGCUUAUGAUGUAUCGACAAGGACACAAGAAUGAAUCUUUUUUCUCACCUGGAAGCAACGGUGAACUAUGAAAGCAGUAAGCUAAAUCUUUCUUUCGUGUGUAAUCCCAAACAAAAGUCCCAACACUAAUUAUAGCUGUUUAAGGCAUGCAGCAUAAUUUACAGUUCUAUCGAUGUCCGUAAUGACGUAUGGUAGGUGAAAUACAAUCGGUGAAAUACAAAAAUACAAAUACGAUUAUCCUUGUUACGACACAGAUACGAAUAAUCGCCAACUCGCCAAGGGAAUGUAGAUCACUCUCCAUGAUAUAGAAUCAGAUAUAACAAGAGGCUGUGUAAGAAAAAUGUCUGAUGCUAUUAAUAAUGUGACGAAAGUAAAAAUGUAAGCGCCUAGCCUUUUUAUUGUAAGUAAAUAAAAUAAAUUAAGUAUAAUUUAAGUUCUGGUUAAGUUGUUAUUUUUUAAAUACGACCAGUGGAAGUUAUAAAUCUAAAGAAACUUGGAAGCAAUUCAUUCUAUGGUCACUUACUUACAAAUAUUCGUUGGUCUACCUAUUUUAAUUUUACUGAACCUAUUCCGGUAAUAGCUUGUGAGGUUACAAUACAAUACAACUAUACAAUACAAGUACAAUAGUUCCUAAUUUGUUCCUAUUGGACAGA